rfam:Schistosoma mansoni strain Puerto Rico chromosome 1, complete genome
AUUCGAGUCCCAAAUAGGACGAAACUCGCGUCCUGAAU